rnacentral:rRNA from 1 species
AUUGAACGCUGGCGGCAUGCCUUACACAUGCAAGUCGAACGGCAGCACGGGUGCUUGCACCUGGUGGCGAGUGGCGAACGGGUGAGUAAUACAUCGGAACGUACCUUAUCGUGGGGGAUAACGUAGCGAAAGUUACGCUAAUACCGCAUACGAUCUACGGAUGAAAGCGGGGGAUCGCAAGACCUCGCGCGAUUGGAGCGGCCGAUAUCAGAUUAGGUAGUUGGUGGGGUAAAGGCUCACCAAGCCAACGAUCUGUAGCUGGUCUGAGAGGACGACCAGCCACACUGGAACUGAGACACGGACCCGACUCCUACGGGAGGCAGCAGUAAGGAAUAUUGGACAAUGGUCGAAAGACUGAUCCAGCCAUCCCGCGUGCAGGAUGACUGCCCUAUGGGUUGUAAACUGCUUUUAUAUGGGAAGAAUAUUUUGUAGCGUACCGAGAGAAUAAGAGGUUGCUAACUCUGUG